rnacentral:rRNA from 1 species
GACGAACGCUGGCGGCGUGCUUAACACAUGCAAGUCGAACGGAAAGGCCCUGCUUUUGUGGGGUGCUCGAGUGGCGAACGGGUGAGUAACACGUGAGUAACCUGCCCUUGACUUUGGGAUAACUUCAGGAAACUGGGGCUAAUACCGGAUAGGAGCUCCUGCUGCAUGGUGGGGGUUGGAAAGUUUCGGCGGUUGGGGAUGGACUCGCGGCUUCUCAGCUUGUUGGUGGGGUAGUGGCUUACCAAGGCUUUGACGGGUAGCCGGCCUGAGAGGGUGACCGGCGACAUUGGGACUGAGAUACGGACCAGACUCCUACGGGAGGCAGCAGUGGGGAAUAUUGCACAAUGGGCGGAAGCCUGAUGCAGAAACGCCGCGUGCGGGAUGACGGCCUUCGGGUUGUAAACCGCUUUCGCCUGUGACGAAGAGUGAGUGACGGUAAUGGGUAAAGAAGCACCGGCUAACUACGUG